UACGUAGGGUGCGAGCGUUGUCCGGAAUUAUUGGGCGUAAAGGGCUCGUAGGCGGUCUGUUGCGUCAGGAGUGAAAACUCGGGGCUUAACCCCGAGCCUGCUUCUGAUACGGGCAGACUAGAGGUAUGCAGGGGAGAACGGAAUUCCUGGUGUAGCGGUGAAAUGCGCAGAUAUCAAGGAGGAACACCGGUGGCGAAGGCGGUUCUCUGGGCAUUACCUGACGUGAGGAGCGAAAGUGUGGGGAGCGAACAGGA
rnacentral:rRNA from 1 species